CUGCCCCUCCGGGUCAGGACUAGAGUUUUAAAAUAAGAUGGAUGAUUUGACGUUACUUGAUCUCCUGGAGUGCCCCGUGUGCUUGGAAAAGCUCGAUGUCACAGCCAAAGUCCUCCCUUGCCAGCACACCUUCUGCAAACCAUGUCUCCAGAGGAUCUCCAAGGCCCACAAGGGGCUGCGCUGCCCCGAAUGCAGAACCCUGGUGUUUGGCAGCAUCGAGGCGCUGCCCGCCAACCUGCUGCUCGUGCGCCUUCUGGACGGCGUGCGCUCGGGGCCGAGCUCUGGGAGAGGGGGCUCCUUCCGCAGGCCUGGCGUGCUGGCCUUGCAGGACGGCAAGAAGAGCAGGACUCACCCCAGAGGUCUGCAGGCCAGCCCGUUCCGACUCGUGCCCAACAUCAGAAUCCACAUGGAUGGGGUGCCUCGAGCAAAGGCCUUAUGCAACUACCGAGGGCAGAAUCCCGGUGACCUGAGGUUUAAUAAGGGCGAUGUCAUUCUCCUUCGGAGACAGCUGGACGAGAACUGGUACCAGGGGGAGAUCAAUGGAGUCAGUGGGUUCUUCCCGGCCAGCUCUGUGGAGGUCAUCAAGCAGCUGCCCCAGCCACCCCCACUUUGCCGGGCCCUCUACAACUUUGACCUACGAAAUAAGGACAAGAGUGACAACCAGGACUGCCUGACCUUCCUCAAGGAUGAUAUCAUCACUGUGAUCAGCCGAGUGGAUGAGAACUGGGCAGAAGGGAAGUUAGGAGACAAAAUCGGCAUCUUCCCAAUCUUGUUUGUUGAGCCAAACCUCACCGCGAGACACCUGCUAGAGAAGAACAAAGGCCACCACCCGUCUCGCACAAAAAGCCUGUCCCUGGUGUCCUCCUCCAGAGGCAAAGCCACCAACACGCCCAGCCUCCGAAGGGGCCCUGGGUCCAGAAGGAAGGGGCCCGGGCAGCUCUCCAUCACAACAGCCUUGAACACCCUCAACAGGAUGGUCCAUUCUCCCUCGGGGCGCCAUAUGGUGGAGAUCAGCACCCCAGUGCUUAUCAGCUCUAGCAACCCCUCUGUGAUCGGCCAGCACGUGGAGAAAGCAGAUGUUCUUCCCAGUUCUUUGGGGCAGGUCAGCAUGUAUCACGCCACGCCUGCCUCCCCAGGACAUUCCAUGGCCAUCGUCAGUCUGCCUGGCUCCCAGCAACACCUCUCAGCUAACAUGUUUGUAGCUCUGCACUCCUACUCCGCCCACGGACCCGAUGAGCUGGACCUGCAGAGGGGAGAAGGCAUCAGGGUCCUGGGGAAGUACCAGGACGGCUGGCUCAAGGGAGUCUCCUUGGUCACCGGGCGAGUCGGCAUCUUCCCCAACAACUACGUCAUCCCCAUUUUCAGAAAGACAUCUAGUUUUCCAGACGCCCGGAGCCCUGGUCUCUACGCCACAUGGACAUUGUCGACCUCCUCUGUGUCCUCCCAAGGCAGCAUUUCAGAAGGUGAUCCCCGACAAAGCCGCCCCUUCAAGUCCGUCUUUGUGCCCACGGCCAUAGUCAACCCCGUGCGGAGCACAGCCAGCCUGGGCGCUCCAGGACAGAGCACUCUCCGGAAAGGGCGGGGCAGCAUGAGAAAGAGUAAGUGGUGGCAGAGAGAUGGAUCCCUGCAGAGACCCAUCCCGUCAGGGAUCCCCACCCUUGUGGUGGGCUCUCUCAGACGCAGCCCCACCAUGGUCGUCCGGCCUCAGCAGUUCCAGUUCCACCAGCCACCGGCGGUCCCCUCCUCACCCUUGAUGGUGGUGGCGGAGAUGGGACCCAAGCCGGCUCCCACGGGGGAGCCUGCCCUCACGUGCGUCAGCAGAGGCAGUGAGUCCAGGAUCCACUCAACCGCCAGCUCCAUCAUCAUGGAAGGCAAGGAAAUCCCCAUCAAGAGCGAGCCUCCACUCAAACCGCCCGCAUCUGCCCCGCCAUCCAUCCUGGUGAAGCCAGAAAACUCCAGAAACAGCAGCGAAAAGCAAGUCAAGACCGUGAGAUUUCAGAAUUACAGCCCUCCUCCCACCAAACACAGCACCUCCGGGAAGCCUGAACAUCCCACCACCCCUAAGGGGUCCCAGCCUGAAGCCAACCCCUUGGGCCCAGAGAUGACCAUCCUAUUCGCCCACCGCAGCGGCUGCCAUUCCGGACAGCAGACAGACCCCCGGAGGAAGUCAGCUUUCAGCAAGACCGUGGCCCCAGUGUCUUCCGCCUCCGCCACACAGACCAUGUUUCCCAGCAAAUGAAUCUUCGGGUGGCUUUUCCUAGAUCCCAAAGAGUAACUCAGUCCCAGAUAAACUGGAAGUGAAUUCUGCAUAUACCACAUAGACUACAUUUUAAAUCAGACCAGCCCGAAUCUAUCUUCCAAAUUUGAUGCAACGCUACCCGCAGUCUUCUGAUGCAAUGAGGGGAACAGGACUGGCCCACUGACCCGUAAUCUGCAUUAUAGUUUGGGUCACAGACCCUUUUGAGAAUAUGAACUCACUCCUCGAGGGAAAAUAAAAAUACGUGCACACCGACAUGCAAAAUUGUGCAUUCAAUUCCACGGGGUUCAGGAUCCAUUGAAAACGAUCAACAGGCCUCUGGUUAAGAAUCCCUGAUGUACAGUUAAGAUGUUAUGUCAUCUCACAUCGGGAAAGAUGACAACCUUGAUGAAUACAAACCUUUCCAAGCAGACAGACUCUGUCUGGGCUCAGAGGAGAACCGGGUAGCAAGAGGGCAACGAUGGAGUAGCUGCUUUUCAGAUACCAAAGAGGUAGGUGCUUCUGAAGUUUGCCUCAUCCACCUGGAACCCUAUUCAAAAUCAUUCCUUUAAGCACUGAACUGGAUGCAAAGGGGAGAAGCCCUGCUCCCUGGACGCUUAGAAAGCCAAGGGUGCCGGGCCCUGCCUCGCACGCUGCGCACGGGAUUGAGACAAGCAGCCGAGCGGCCAAACCAGCUGACCCCGUUCUUCCUAACCCCGAGGCCUAUGGUUCUUUCAAUGACGUGAGAGAGAGAAAGAGGCAAGUGAGCACACAGGCUAAAAGUCAUGCAGGAAAAGUACCUCCCGGGGCGGAGCACCUGCCAGGCAUCCAGGCAGUGAGCGAGACAACGGAGGCCCCUGCUUUCAGAGAGCAGGCGGCUUACUCACAUACAUGAACCCCCCAGUCUGAGGACUUUCCCUCUUCCCUCCUCUUCUAGAAAACCGAAGAAAAUCCUGGCCCUCUUCCUUCUGCCCAUGUUGGGCAGCUGAUGGCUCCUGGUGGACACAAAACUCUUUUCCGCCUGGGGCUCGAGGUGUCCUCCACAGGGAGGCUGCAGGCUGACCCUUUACCAUCUUUCAGGGUGCAGCUUAAGUCAGGUCCUCGGAGAGGCCGUCCUUUACCCCUGUAAUCUCCUCUCAUAACACCCUGCUUAUUUCCUUCAUUGCCCUGUCACAACUGCAAUUAUUGUUUAUUAUUUAUCUGCUUAUUGUCUACCUCCUCUAAGAAACCGUCUCUGUCUCAUUCACUAUUAAGUCUGUAACAUCUAUCACACGUCUGUACACAGGUGUCCACUUAGGUUCCACAGGUAGGAACUCAGUCAAUAUUGGCUGAACUACAAAUCAAUGUGGAUUACACCUUCCACAUAAGCCUUCUCUGGGACCACAUCACAAGCAUUCCCGAACUGGGAUGCCUCACCUUCUACCCAUGGUGCCAGGUAGCAGCCACUAUUGCACUUGGCUUCUUUUCCGCAUCUGAGCUUUCAGCACCCACAUCUUCAAAGGGCACAGAGCACCCGCCUGCUAAUCUCAGUGCAUCCCUAGCGCUGCUUGCGCAGCCAUGAGGCCUGCUUGUGGCUGAGCAGAGCUCCCCCUGUGGGAGCGUACUGACCACCAGGGGGCAGCUCCUGCAUUGAGCGUCUGCCCCCUGGACCAGUCGUUCCCGGUCAUUCUGCUGUUAGGGUCAAUUUGCAUAUUACCCUUUUAUUAUAUAGGAUUUGUUGGGCUUUUCCUGGUAACAGCACCCCAGUAGAAAAAUAUAGGAAAUUAUCCCUUACUAUUGUGGGCAAUAUUGACAGAACUGUCACUCAAAGUGCCCUGGCCUGGCAAGUGGCAGCCUGGGACCUAAGCUAGACAAACUGGGCUCCGUCUGCUGAGAUGUCGAGUCUCACACAGGAAAACAAAAGGAUGCACCACACUGUCCACUAGCUCCUGUCAAUGCAUCUAUCCCUUCUGAACCCCGUUUUCAGUUGAUUUUUUUAUUCUGUGAGCUAUCCCAUUGCCAUCUAGUGAAACCCAGCAUUUGCUUGAGUCUUGUUUUCCCAUGGCUGCCAGAACAAAAUGCAUUCCACAGACGGGCAUCGUAGAACCAGAGAAAGUGUUCUCUCACUGGAGAAUUAGGAGGCGAGAGGUCUGACGUCAGCAUGCGGCAGGGGUGGUUCCGUCUGGAAGCUCUGAGGGAAGAGCCUGCUCCAUGCCUCUCCCCCAGGUUUUGGUGGCCACUGGUCAUCUGUAGCAUUCCUUGGCUUCUGGGUGCAUCACUCCACUCCUGCUUCUGCCUUCACAUGGCCUUCUCUUCUGUGUGUUUGUGUCCAAAUUUCCCUCUUCCUAUAAGGACACCAGCCAUGGGGAUAGGGCCCCACCCUAACCCAGUGCAACCUCUUUUUAACUUGACUAGAUUGGAAGACCCUGCUUCAAACUGAGGUCACAUUCAGAGGUUUCAAGUGGAUAUAGAUUUUAAGGGGUCACUAUUCAACCCAGUGCAACACUCAACCAAAAAACCUCGGGUCCACUUAGGUUCCACUGUGAAGAGUGGGUUCUAUACAUAGUCUGCUUUAGUCCUGACAACACUUGAAGUGGACAUGGCCUAUCUUCAUCUUAGAGAUGGAAAAAUGAAGACCUAGAGAAUUUGUUUGAAGUCAAAUGACUGGUAAGAGGCAAUUAAGAUUCAAAGCAAACCUGGGACUAGGUCUGCACAUCUCCACAAGACCGCCUGCUCUCUGUACGCAGUCCUAGGUGACAAGCAAAGGCAGGAAGUCUGGACAACAGCAAGAGCCUGAGGGAAUCAGAGAACUGCCACAAUUGCCUGGUCAGACAUCCACGUGGGCAGCAGUGGCAGGAAGAGACCUGCUGAGCUCUGGGUCAGAUGGGCAAAGAGACAGGAAUAGAAGGAAAGAAAAUUGUAAAGAACAUAAAUGAAGAGGGAAACGUACAAAUCCUCCUGUCUCUGCAGACGCUGAAGAGGCCGGUGCUCCAGUCCCCGCCAGUCUGGACAACGGUGGUGACCGCGGUCCUGCCUCUGGCUCCCCGGACGGGCUGCUUCACCACAGCCUGGGCUGGCGCCUGGUUCCUGGCGAGUCAAGGAUGGUGAUUAAUUAGGAAACAAAGCUCCGAAGGAUGACCAUUAAGCCAAGACAGAGCCAUAAAGAGGAGACACGGGCCCAGGGAAGCCAAGCCCAAGCCGACCUCACCAUCGCCCUCCCUCCUCCUCCUUCCUACCUUCUCGGACUUCUUGCCCCACUGCUACUAAUGGCAUUAUUAUUCCAGGUCCUGUCCCUCACACUCAAUGUCCAGUCUACUUCCUCAGUGCUUCCUAAUAGUCAAUCACAAACUUGGAAGUAAGGGGCCUCAGCUCAGAUCCCAGCACGCCACUGCCUGGAACAGGAGGCAGGCUGGAAGGGAAGAGGAUGCUUGUGACGUAGGCAGUGAGGCACCAGGGGGCAGACAGCUGGCUGUGCUAUGGCAGGGAGGCCAGGGCUGGGAGCUGCCCGUCUAGAUGUGACAAGCAGGGCCCUUUCACUAGCCAUUCGGCAGUACAGGCGAUGCUGAGGGGCCUAAGCUUUUCAAGAGCCUACAAAAGUGAGACCUGGGAAAAGGUACUGGCUCCAGAACAGAAAAACUGCAAAACAGAAAUCACUUAAUGCUCCAUUAAACACAAAAAUCUGGCAUUGUGUCACUCUCACUCAUUGUCAAAUUCAGAAUUCACAAAUAUUUCAUUACAUUUGGAAACAACUUACAAUUUUCAUUUUUUUAAAAAAUCCCAAGUGUGUAGGACUGCUGAGAAGCAGCAGCCAAUCAAACAUGACUCACAGCCAAAUAAUUUCAAAAGCAAAAUUAUAAAAAUCGUUUUGCUUACGAUAUGGCAAAAAACAACAUAUGGCUAUAACGUAUGGUAUGGACACAUUUGAAUAUGUUUGUCAUAAUGUGGGUGAGCACCUACCGCUAUGGACUGAAUCGUGUCCCCCAAAUUCAUGUCGAAGCUGACCCCCAACGUGACUGUGUUUGUCAAUAGGGCUUUUCGGAGGAUAUGAAAGUUAAAUGGGGCGUGGGGUGGGGUCUGGUCCGAUUGGAUUGCUGGCUGGAAGAGCAGGAAAGGCCAUCCAUGUACACACACAGGGAGAAGGCUGCAGGCAGAAAGAGUCCCCGCCACAACCCGGCCCUGCGGGCUCCCCGACCCUGCACAUCCAGACUCCAGAACUAGGAGAAAAUAAACUCCCAUUCUUCAAGCCACCCAGUCCACGAUAUUUCACUAUGGCAGCCCAAGCUAAGAAACGUGUGCGGACUUCAAACCGGCCCUGAAAAAUAACUCCCUUUACACUAUCUUAUGUCCUGUUUCCAUGGAAGCUCCAAGGUUGGGCCCACACUGCCUCUCCGGUGGCCACAGAAUCCAGUGUGUGCCCUUGAACCAGGUGGGUGCAUGUAUUUGUUGAAUUGGGUCAAAUUGAAUCGAAUUGAAUCACAUGUCUCUUCCAUUGCAUUUGAGCCCUCAAGUCUAGGUACCAGCGAGGUGGCCUUCAGUGUGUUUCAGCCUCCGGGGAGGCAGGGCUCUCGGGUGUGAGCUGAAGAAGCCUGCAGAGCAGCCUGCAGCUGCCUGACCCCUCACAGGGCCCUGACCACUCACAGGGGCUCACCUCUCCCUGUGCUGAUGCCCUCCAGGUGGCGCUUCCCUCAGGAUGCCAAGAGCUUCCAAUUAUCUCCAACUUUCAGAAGAGGAAUGUCUUAGCUCCGAGCCCCUGGAUUCCACCUCUCCCUGAAGUAAACCAUCUACAUCCGGCAGCCCUAGACUAGAUGUGUCUGCCUCUACCUCACUCGGCAUCAUGUGAGCAGCACCUUUUGUUACAGGGAGGCAGCCUGCCCCUCUCUGUUCUAAAUCAAAUAACUAAGAGGAUCGCUUUUCCUUCGUGAAAAUAAAAGUUGGUUUUUAGGGGGUGUUUUACCUAAUUUUGAACACAAGAAAUACAGUAUUGAGUUUCUUGCCUUUA